rnacentral:rRNA from 2 species
CCUGGUGUUGUUAGCGCCGUGGCACCACUCCGAAUCCAUCCCGAACUCGGUUGUGAAACGCGGCAGCGGCGAAGAUAGUUGGAGGGUUGCCUCCUGCCAAAAUAGCUCAGUGCCAGGA